rnacentral:rRNA from 1 species
AGAGUUUGAUCCUGGCUCAGAACGAACGCUGGCGGCAGGCCUAACACAUGCAAGUCGAGCGCUCUCUUCGGAGGGAGCGGCGGACGGGUGAGUAACGCGUGGGAACGUGCCCUUCUCUAUGGAAUAGCCACUGGAAACGGUGAGUAAUACCAUAUACGCCCUUCGGGGGAAAGAUUUAUCGGAGAAGGAUCGGCCCGCGUUAGAUUAGGUAGUUGGUGGGGUAAUGGCCUACCAAGCCUACGAUCUAUAGCUGGUUUUAGAGGAUGAUCAGCCACACUGGGACUGAGACACGGCCCAGACUCCUACGGGAGGCAGCAGCGGGGAAUCUUAGACAAUGGGCGCAAGCCUGAUCUAGCCAUGCCGCGUGAGUGAUGAAGGCCUUAGGGUCGUAAAGCUCUUUCGCCAGAGAUGAUAAUGACAGUAUCUGGUAAAGAAACCCCGGCUAACUCCGUGCCAGCAGCCGCGGUAAUACGGAGGGGGUUAGCGUUGUUCGGAAUUACUGGGCGUAAAGCGCACGUAGGCGGAUUAGAAAGUUAGGGGUGAAAUCCCGGGGCUCAACCUCGGAACUGCCUCUAAAACUCCUAGUCUAGAGUUCGAGAGAGGUGAGUGGAAUUCCAAGUGUAGAGGUGAAAUUCGUAGAUAUUUGGAGGAACACCAGUGGCGAAGGCGGCUCACUGGCUCGAUACUGACGCUGAGGUGCGAAAGUGUGGGGAGCAAACAGGAUUAGAUACCCUGGUAGUCCACACCGUAAACGAUGAAUGCCAGUCGUCGGGUAGUAUACUGCUCGGUGACACACCUAACGGAUUAAGCAUUCCGCCUGGGGAGUACGGUCGCAAGAUUAAAACUUAAAGGAAUUGACGG